rnacentral:lncRNA from 1 species
CGCGCCAGGGCCCCUCCGCCUCCUCGGACCGAGCCCGCCGCUGUCCCCGCUCUAUCUUCAGCAACAUUAAGCUCCCACUUCUCCUUGACUUUGGGAGCCUUCAUGGAUGUCCAGCACAAGCCUGGAGGAGCCCUGGACAGGUCAUUGAGUCCACCCUCCAGCCUCCAGCUGGACGACAUCUCUCCAGAGAAGGGGCUCACUGAGGACCACCUUCCUUGGCUUUGUUGCCAGAGGGCCCAACAGAGACCCUUACAGAGGACAUCUGACCUAAUGCUAGUGGGAACCUACCUGUGGAUCCCAGCCUGUACCCCAGGGCUGCGCCCCUCACAUCCCACCCACCCCAGAUGGGCAGGGCCAAAUUAAUGCAGGAGCAGCCCCGUCUAUCGGGCCGUCUUCACCCCUGGACCUUGUCGCUGACUUGGAAAGUGAGCCUACAGGACCUGGUAGUUGUCCACUUCAUUAGUAAAGUGCCCUUGCUGUCAGGAGGCUGUCCUCCUGGGCUCACCACAGCUUGAGACUCCUUCUUCCUACUCGGUGUCCCAGGAAAGCACGGGCCCACUGAAUCAAUGUCUAAAUUUAACAUGCAAACAUGUAAAUUAGCAAGGCGUGAGGAUGGGCAUCAGUGAAGCCUGUUUUGUUUGCCUUAAAGUCACAGAUAUUCAGGAUUCUCACCCUCGGCCCCAACACAUUUUUAGCAGCGGUUAAGAUUUUCUGAGCUAUCAUUACAAAGAUGGGUACAUUUUACUAGGACAUGUAUGUAUGGUAAAAUAUAUGGGUGCAUGUGGAUAUUUAGUUGUGAAUGCACAUGCGUUGGGGGGCACCCAUGAGAUGACAAAUUGAGUGAAAUAUCAAGUGGACGGAUAGGUGCUUUGAGAAAUGCUAUCUGACUAAACCCUACCUCCCAUGCUACGAGGUGCGUAUUGUCCACAUUUUCUAAUGGAGGAAGCUGGGAGGCAGCUUGUGGGAACUGCCACAUUACACAAUGACAUUCCUGGGAUGUGCAGGCUCCAUCUUAAGGCUCUUUCCUCUAUAGCUGCUCCCUGCAUCCCACCGCAGACCCCAGCCAGCUAAGCCAGAGCUUUGCUGUUCAGUCCUUCAAAUCAACAAACACAAGCAGGCCUGUGUAUUCAUAUUUGCUGUUUUAUCUUCCCAAGCCACAUUUGACAUUGGCGGCCCCCAAAGUCUUUGUUCCUCAGUUUUCCUCUCUCGCUGCACAUUCCCUCCCCCAUGGUCAUAAGGCUAGACCGAUACUCCUGCUGUACGGCACACGAGCAUCUAGACCAGGGGCCUGGUAUGUGGUGGGGGUGGCAAUCAAGUGGCUUAGAAACACCUCCUGAAAGAAUAAAUGGAAACCUGUCAGCUGAGCAACGUUCUGUGGUGGAAGUCAUCUGCUCAGAAACUAAUAAUGAGGAAAUCACUUGUAUAUGUAGCAACUGGAG